rnacentral:tRNA from 1 species
GCCUUCGUGGUGUAGUGGUCAACACGCUGGGCGCGUAUUCCAGAGGUCCGUGGUUCGAGUCCCGGCGAAGGCG